rnacentral:rRNA from 1 species
AUUGAACGCUGGCGGCAGGCCUAACACAUGCAAGUCGAGCGAGCGGCGGACGGGUGAGUAAUGUAUGGGGACUGCCCGAUAGAGGGGGAUAACUACUGGAAACGGUAGCUAAUACCGCAUACGAUCGGAUAACCCAUAUGGGAUUAGCUAGUGGGUGAGGUAAUGGCUAACCUAGGCGACGAUCCCUAGCUGGUCUGAGAGGAUGAUCAUACACACUGGGACUGAGACACGCCCCAGCCUCCUACUGAGGCAGCAGUGGGGAUUAUUGCACAAUGGGAGCAAGCCUGAUGCAGCCAUGCCGCGUGUAUGUAGAAGUCCCUAGUGUUGUAAAGUCCUUUCAGUCGUGAGGCGUUACCGACAGAAGAAGCACCGGCUAACUCCGUGCCAGCCGCCGCGGUAAUA